UGGGGAAUAUUGGACAAUGGGCGAAAGCCUGAUCCAGCCAUGCCGCGUGUGUGAAGAAGGUCUUCGGAUUGUAAAGCACUUUAAGUUGGGAGGAAGGGCAGUAAGCGAAUACCUUGCUGUUUUGACGUUACCGACAGAAUAAGCACCGGCUAACUCUGUGCCAGCAGCCGCGGUAAUACAGAGGGUGCAAGCGUUAAUCGGAAUUACUGGGCGUAAAGCGCGCGUAGGUGGUUCGUUAAGUUGAAUGUGAAAGCCCCGGGCUCAACCUGGGAACUGCAUCCAAAACUGGCGAGCUAGAGUAGGGCAGAGGGUGGUGGAAUUUCCUGUGUAGGGGUGAAAUGCGUAGAUAUAGGAAGGAACACCAAUGGCGAAGGCGAACACCUGGGCUCAUACUGACACUGAGGUGCGAAAGCGUGGGGAGCAAACAGG
rnacentral:rRNA from 1 species